rnacentral:lncRNA from 1 species
UAGAGAAGACAGACUGGCUGGACUCUCCAGAUCUCACGAUGUGUGUAUCCUUCCUCCUUCUAGGAAAAGAACAGAGAAGAUUCCAGGAGCCUUGGUUCCCCUCAGAGCCUUAGGGAACCAAAGGAGCUUCAGCUAGACCAGGAAGAGAAAACCCUGAGAACUAAGAGACUCUUGGAGAAUUCAACAGGCAGCAUCCAGCAACAGAAGGAAGGGGCAAAGGAGGCCCAGAAGGAAAAACCUAAAACAGAGGCUGAAAACAGAGGGGUUCUGCCAGGUCCAAAGGGUCAGGGAACAGAGGGGUCUCCUGGAAAAGAGGCAGAGCGGGACCAUGGCCAGGCGCCACUGGCUUCCAGCCCCAGAGAACCAAUAGAGGAGGCCACGUCAGAGAACAGGCAAGGGCAGGAGGUGUCUACCAUUCUGGGGGAGUCCUGGGUCCUCCAGGACCUGGGGGAAAAGAAAGUCUUCAUCACAGAACAGCCACAAGAACAAACAGAAGUGACUGGUGUUGCCAGGAAAGAGGAGCAAGCAGAAGUGUGCUUGCAGGACAUGGUGAAGACCCUCAGACAUGGGCUCCGGAAGGCGGAGGAGCAGGCCCAGCGCCAGGAGCAGCUGCUAAGAGCUCGGGAUGGUGAGCUGCAGGCGCUUCAGAAGCAGCUCCACAGGUGUGAGGAAGAGAGAGCCCAGCUGCAGGCAGAGCUGAGGCAGAAGCAACAGGAGGCCGACAGGAGGGAAGCCAUGUAUGAGGAAGAGCGUGGAGGGCAUCGGGACCUGAUCCAGGCCAUGAAGAGAAGGAUGCUGGAACUGAUUCAGGAAAAGGACCGCCAGUGGCAGAGGCUCCAGCAGCUCUCAGACUUGGUCCCUCGCUGCUGCCUGGGCUGUAGCAAGGUCUUCGGCAGACUGUCCCGGAGGUACCCGUGCAGGCGCUGCGGAGGCCUGGUUUGCCAUUCCUGCUCUGCAGAUUACAAGAAGAGAGAGUGCUGCUGCCCGUACUGUGCCCAGGGAGAAGCCCAGGUCACCUGACCACGACUGGCCCGGGCCUCCCACCGGUGGAAGAGCAGGGUGUCAGCUGCGCUCUCUAAUAUGAGGGCUGCGGGCCUCAGCCGCUCUGUAAAAUUCCUCAAGCUUAGUAAAUGCACGACCGUGAACUGCCCGGGCUGUGCGGCUCCUCCACUCUCCCUUCUCACCCAGCUGCGUGCCCGCUGCACAGCCGCCACAACGGCACAGCCUGCACAUGCGCAGGCCUUCAGUCGCGGCCCACGGAAUCCUUAUUUCCCGAUCUGUAUUUUAUUGGUUUUGUUUAGUUUUGCUCUGCUUCCCUCUCAGUUGGCUUACUGCGGUGCUAUUGACAUACAGUAAACGUUACAUAAAUUUGCUGAGUUCUGACUUAAUACUGUGAAGCCCUCAGUUAGAUUCAUGCCCAUCCCUCAGCCCAAGGGCUCCUUGUCCCUUUUGGAAUCUUCCUCGCUCCAUGUCCAGGCCACCACUGACCCUGCUUCCUGUCACCAUAGACAAAUGUGCACUUUCUGGAAUUGCACAGAAAUAAAAUCGUACAGUAGAAACUCUUUACUGCCUGCCUUUCCUCGCUCAGUAUUAUUUUGA